GCAAUUAAACGGAAAGGCAUUGAUAUAAGGAAGGUCGAAUUCUAUGCAUCAUUGUUUGACAGUGCAGCCGUUUGUAUAUCACUCCACUCAUCGAGAAGUGAGAAUAAUACAGUUAUUUAUAAAAGGAUAACAGGUGAUUCAAGUCAGACUACAUUCUAUAUGCAUACGAACUGGGAGCAGUUACAAGGCAACGAGAACCUUAUCGAACCGCGCUACACCAACUUCAAUUACAUCAAACAAAUUACCCCUAAGCUAAAAUUAUUAUUUUGUUUAGAGAUCCUACAACAAGACUUUAUUCUGACUUUUUGCAUAAUACACGCGGAAAGUACAGUUUUUCCUCACCUGAAGUGUUUCAUAGAGACGUUGUGGCGUUGAUAAAGGCUUAUAAAGUGUUUCCAUCAAUUUUCACAAAAGAGUUGUGUGUAUAAUAAUACCUUGAAGCAGGAACUUC